CACAUAAAUGAUUCAACCCUAAUACCAAGUCCUCUAUAACGUCUCUCUCUCUCUCUCUCGAGUUAGCCCUAAAAAAAGCUAAUGUCUGGGAUGUACGAUCAAGGAGGAGACGCUGCUCCUCCGUCUUACGGUGCCCCUGGGGGUGGUGGUGGAUACGGUGGUGGUGGUGGUUAUGGUGGAAAAGGUGGUGACGGUGGAUAUGGAGGCGGAGGCCGGGGAGUCGGCGGCGGUAGAGGCUUUGGUGGACGAGGUGGCGGCGGAGGUGGAGGCUACGGUGGUCGAGGUGGCAGUGGCGGAGGGGGUUAUCAAGGAGGAGAUCGCGGAGGGCGAGGCAGUGGACGUGGUGGCGGAGGUGGUCGUGGCGGAAGCGGCAGAGAUGGUGAUUGGGUCUGCCCUAAUCCUGGCUGCGGGAAUUUGAACUUUGCUAGGAGAGUGGAGUGUAAUAAGUGUGGUGCACCCUCACCUGGGGGUGCUAGCGGCGGUGGUGGUGGUGGUUUUAAUAGAGGUGGAGCUGAUGGUGGUUAUAAUAGAGGUGGAGGUGAUGGGGGUUACAAUAGAGGUGGAGGUGAUGGGGGUUACGGUGGUAAUCGUAAUGGCAGGGGUGGUAGUUUUCAUGGUGGUCGAAGUGGAACUCAUGAUGGAGGCCGAAAUGAAGGAGGGAACAGAGGUGGUAACUCGUACGGUGGUCACCAGGGAGGAGAAGAUAGUGGUUACAGUCAGGUUCCCCCUUCCUCGGCACCCUCAUCUGGUGGCCUUGCUGGCUCUUAUCCACCAUCUUACCAUGGUGGAAGUGCAGAUUACGGGACUGAUGCAGUUCCUCCUCCUGCAAGCUACAGUGGAACUACAUACCCUCCAACUUAUGGUGGUCCAUCUGGUGGCUAUGGUGGUGAUAGUCUAGGUGAUGGGCGGAGUUCUGCCGGUCGGGGUGGACCAUCAGCUGGAUAUGACGGCGGCUACAAUGCAGGUGGUAGAGGUGGCUAUAAUUCUGGUGGUAGAGGAGGAGGAAGCUAUAAUACUGGUGGUGGUAGAGGUGGCGGUUAUGGAAGUACACCGGCAGCAGAGCCAGCGCAAGUUAAACAGUGCGAUGAUAAUUGUGAUGAUUCGUGUGAUAACUCUAGAAUCUAUGUUUCUAAUUUGCCAACAGAUGUGACAAUUGAUGAAUUGAGAGAACUAUUUGGUGGAAUUGGUCAAAUUGGAAGAAUUAAGCAGAAGAGGGGCUACAAGGAUCAGUGGCCUUGGAACAUUAAAAUAUAUACAGAUGAGAUGGGAAAUAACAAAGGCGAUGCAUGUGUAUCAUAUGAAGAUCCCCAAGCAGCGCAUUCUGCUGGCGGUUUCUAUAACAAUUAUGAUUUGAGAGGCUAUAACAUCAGUGUUGCAAUGGCUGAGAAGUCUGCACCGAGGGCUCCACCUACAUACAACCAUGGUGGUGGUGGUAGAGGCGGAUAUGGAGGUGGUGGGGAUAGGCGCAGAGAUAGCUAUAGGGAUGGAGCCUCUGGACCUGAUAGACAUCAGCACGGCGGAAAUCGAUCUCGUCCUUACUGAGAAAUUCGGCAUUGAGCAUUUUAUGUAAUGGGAAUUGUGAUCUUAGUGUUUUAAUUUUGUUCCAUGGCUGGAUUCUUGAAUUGGAGACCAAAGAGAGGCAGGCGGAUAAUCUCCAAACUGCUUGUUGCUAAGGUAGGUGUUGAUGUUUCAGGUGAGUGCUUCUCUUUCCAUAACCAUUCUUAGAAUUUUGCACGAGUGGCUCUGAUGUAUAAAGCUCCACCUGAGCUCAGAUACAUCUCUGUUGGCUCCUAAUGCAAGCAUAUCUUAACCUAUAGUCAUCAUUUCUGCAUUCAUAUUUUAGUUACUAAAUAUUAACUUAACAUAGUUUAUUAUUAUUUAUUUGUUAGGAUGACUGUAUAAUCUGUCUGUCUUGUUCCAUAAUUCAUCUUGCAUGUGUUCAA